AAAGAACGUUUUAACAAAACCAAUUGUUUUGUGACAAUGUUGAAUAAAUAAAAAGCAAGAUCCAAGAUUGUCUCCUGGCUGAACGAAUCAUCCGACGGUUGUCACUGUUCCUAUCAUCUUGCGAUAGCGUCUAACAUUAUUACGUCAAAUGUAUACUAAUCGGAUCUGAUGCCACAAAUUCACCCCCCCCCCCCCUUUCAACAGGAACACUCAAAACUAACGUAGUUCUGGGUUUUCCAUUUCUAGCCUGUACUGUCACAGAACCUGAAAAAUAAGAUUUUCUUCCAUGGUUCGAUCUUGCUUUAACAGGGUUCUUUUGCUGUCACUUCUUCUCACAAUCGUUUUCUCUAAUGGUAAUUCUAGAAAUAAUUGCAGCUUCAUUAUUAUUAUUAUUAUUGUGUUUUUAUCAUUGAUAUGAACGUGCGGCAUAUUAGACCUGUUUUUCCAUGUAUUCCUUCUAUAUAUAGGAUGUGGAAGAAAAAGGAUGAGAGCUUAUGAUCACGAAGAGGAUGCAGUUGAUUUCUCCGAGGUUUAUAUCUAUUUUCGGGUGUAAUUUUUUGUGAUUUCGUGAAUUCAAUUAUUUUCUGAUGAAAAUUAUAUUUUCUGUUUUUAAUGUAGGAAAAGGGAAGAGAGACGAUCGAGUUGGACUAUGUUGAUGCAGGGCCAAACUUCAAUGGUAGAACCGGUUAUCCUAUCCCUUCUACUCCUCCUCCUCCACCACCACCACCACCACCACCUCCACCCUUGGAGUUACGUUAUUUAUUUCUUUCGGGAUUGUAACUUACUGUUUGAAUCUUUAAAUAGAAUGUACUUUUUCUCCUCUAUUUACGUGGGAAAAGACUCGACUUGCGAAGAAAAAUUGGGGAAAUGAAAGAGCAA
rnacentral:lncRNA from 1 species